CUCAUGUAUAUUUGCCUUCUAACAGGAACUAUCACAGGAGACUCAGCAAAAAUUGCAACCUUGAACAAAAAUACCUGCGGGCAACCAUUCAAUAACUGCCCUCGGGCUCAGACAGAAAUUUCCCUUGUUUAUCCUUGCAAUCAAGGGCACGCAUUUCCAAACAACUGAUGUGCCCCUUCUCAUUUUACCUUUAGUACCCUUGUCACCAUGGUCCACCACAGCAUGCGCAUCAGGGAUCACAAUCUCUAAGUCAUCUCCAAAUCAAAUCUUUGCUUUGGAGAGCUGCUCUCUCUGCCACUCAUGUUGGGGCGAAGAUUGCCAAGUGGAAUGAUGUUCUUCUAACGUCAAGAAAACAUGUGAACCCAACUUCAUAGCAUUUGUGGCUUGGGCAGACUGUGACCUACCGGAGGUGCGAGUUCUGUAAUGAAUGCAUAUCUGUCACUGUCGACAGUGUCUCCAAAUGUGAGAAACUAGCACACAUUUUGGUCUGCGAGCGGCCCGGACCCCUUGCAGCAAUACCUCAGCCCCUGGCGGGAACGCUGGCCCGCACUGAGCACGCACUGGGUUGCCCUGAGGUCCCUCUCUUCGGCUUCUCAAUGGGAAAGUGCCGCUGAUACCUCGAGAUCGCUGGGCAGAACAAUGCUGUCACGGAAGGAUGAAGGCACUGCGGAGUAGGGCAGGAGGCGGCAUUUCCAAACAGCAGCUGGCACCACCGUCGACACGUCUCUGAAACCGAACUUAGAAUCUUAUCCUCCCUGUAGCGGUGCUACCCUAUUUCAGUUCCCGUUAAAUGGAAUUUGGGGGUGAUUUCUUUCGGGUGGAGAUUCUGCAUGUGGGAAAUCGCCGAGCCCAGUCGGUUCCCUUUAAAUCCAUGCGCUGUGUGCAACUCAGCUCGGGCCGCCACCCCGGCACAGGCCUUGAGGUCCCCUGCAGGCGGUCAAAUGCGGAGCGGACCCCAAGACGCAGGACUGAGGCCCGAGACGGAAACAGACUCCAGUAGCGCCGGAAGUCGGGUUUGUCGCUGGCUGCUGUGGGCCAGGCUAGGGAAGCUCCCGUCCGUCCCGGGGCGCCCUCUGAGGACCCGCAAGGGCGGUGCUUCUCGAACUCCUCAGGGCGCUCUCGGGCGUGCUUGCUGGCCAGCUCUGGAGUGGGCCCAGGAAUCUGCAGAUCAAAUAGUCAUCCUAGAGCCUCCAGUGCAGGGAAGUCCCCGAGGAACCUCUGCAUCCGAGACCUGCCGCGCCUGCG
rnacentral:lncRNA from 1 species